UGGGAGGAUGGCACUGAGGGACCCCCACGGCACCCAGUGGUUUUACCCCCUUCCCAGCUCUCGCCCCGCUGGCACGUGCUGGCCGGACCCUGCGCCCCGACCCCGGGAGACACCUGCCAGGGAGCACAGAGCCGGCGGCUCCUCCCUGAAGGGACAGCAGAGAUGGAAGCACAGGGAGCCAGGAGCCUCUUUUGAGCCAGCUCUCAUCUUCUGAUGUGAGAAAUGAAAUGGAGCUUGUAGAUCCGACUGCUGGCGCUGGGUCAGAGCACAGCGAGACGCAACGUGUAACGCGGUGAUACACUGCUUAGUGUUUCCCAUAGGUGUCAAGAAGCAGUUUUAGAAGAAAAAUCCAGGAGUGCUGACGAACAAGCUGAGUUUAUGGAGUUGAGCUGAACAUCUGAACGCAGGGUUUUGAGAGAUGGAGAACUUCCACUGGCCUCAGGCUGGAGAGUUGGUGGCAGCGCUUUGCAGCACCGCACCGCUGCUUCGGAGUGAGAACAGCACAGAGGGGACUUGGGCGGAUGGAUCGCAACCGAGGUUAUGGAAAACGAAGCACUGGAGGGUUGAGUUUCUUGGGAGAAUGGACUAUCCCCUCUUUUCCGUAGUGCUGCACCCAGAACUAGUACCCAAACCUCCCAGAAAUAAAAAGCUGAAGGAAGGAACACCACUCAUUUUGUUCAAAAUGUAAUUCCGAUUUUUCAUAGUUUAAAUUUAAGCUUAAUUCAAUCCAGAGCCAAGGGAGGCCUUGCUUAUGUCACCGAUGGCGAAUUGCUGCAUGAACAGUACUGUGUGCCCUAAUAGCUGUUGCAAAAAAAAAAAAAAAAAAAAAAAUCACAAAAAUGAACAUCUGCCCUCUUCCUUAGCAGCCUGUUGCCAAUAGGACAGGUACGAAAAGACAGGAAGGAGAAAGGGUUCAAAGUUUUGGAUGUGGAAAACUUGAAUUCCGAGGGAAAAACACUGGCCAGCAGCUGCAGACAGAGGUGCUGGACCUCAUCUGACAUUUGGUGGGUACCAGGGUGAGAAAAGCUGGGAUGCCGCACCCGAGGAACGCCAGGCUCCACCACGGACCAAAACUGAAGAGAAAGGAACGUCCCACGGUGCAGGACGGGCUUUUAAAGUUCAGUAACACACGGGGAACAGAUCACCACAACGGGUGGGGAUGCUACUUCAUCACCACAAAGCCUCUCUGCUGGAACAAAAAAAUAUUCAGAGCUCUGUUCUCUCUACUGGCUAUAACUCCAAACGUUUGAGACCACAAAGAGACUUCAGCAUGGAACGCUGGCGCACCCAUCGGCAUUCCUGCGAGCCCAGCAGCGUGCAGCCGCAAGGCACACCACCACCCUGGCUCCCAGCGG